CGCCGAACAGGGCUUCGGCCAGCAGGGCCAGUCCGACUCCGGCUUCGGCCAGCAGGGCCAGCCGGGCCAGUCCGACUCCGGCUUCGGUCA
rnacentral:tRNA from 1 species